rnacentral:rRNA from 1 species
AUGACAAGAGCUCGAGCAAAGGCUAUCGAAGAUAAGGUGAACUCGCUCCUCUCCAAACUACCACUUUCUACACAUGAGACAUGGCUACUACCUCAAGCAGAAACACUAUGUGUGAUCAGGUACUUGGAGGAAGGCCACGGAGCAGCCACACCCAAUGGACAAGAAGAAGAGCUACCGAAGAAGCUACAGCGAGCGGACGUCCGCCCAGGACCGGACGUCCGGCGCCUGACGCUCCAGCCAGCGGACGUCCGACGCCUGACGCUCCAGCCAGCGGACGUCCGGCGCCUGAAGGCCCAGCCGACCCAAGUCCCAGCCGACGACUGCUACAGCGAGCGGACGUCCGGCCUCCUCCGGACGACCGGCAGAACUUCCCAGCGAGCGGACGUCCCGCCCCCACCGGACGACCGGCAUUUCCACACCCGAGCCGAUUCUGCGAAAGUCCGUAGCGACUGGACGACCGGUCGUCUCCCGACGUCCGAUGCAACGUUCACAGAGCGUAAUUAG